rnacentral:tRNA from 1 species
GGUGUAGCUCAGUGGUAGAGAACUUGCCUAGUAAGCACUAGGCCCUGGGUUCCACCCCCAGCACC